UGGGGGAUUGUUGCUGCUGAAGCUGCUGUAAUUGCAACUGUACAGUUUUGGGUAUAGCUUUCUUCACUUCUACCGUUCUUCCUAGUAUUACAUGAGAGUCUUGAAGGGCCUUAUCAGCGAAGGUAGGAUCAGAGAAAGUUACAAAGCCAAAGCCUCUAGGGCUUCUGGUAUUCUUGUCCUUGGCAACAUGAGAAGUUAAAACAGUCCCAUACUUGGCAAAGUGAGCUUUGAGAGCUUCUUCACUGGUCUCCCGAGAUAUACCUCCCACAAAUAACUUAGCUUUAUCGUUAUCCAU
rnacentral:misc_RNA from 1 species